rnacentral:rRNA from 1 species
UUGAUCCUGGCUCAGGACGAACGCUGGCGGCGUGCUUAACACAUGCAAGUCGAACGGAACUUAAGUUGUAGCAAUAUGGUUUAAGUUUAGUGGCGGACGGGUGAGUAACGCGUGAGUAAUCUGCCUUAGAGUGGGGGAUAACAACUGGAAACGGUUGCUAAUACCGCAUAAGAUCAUGGAGGGACAUCCCUCAGUGACCAAAGAUUAAUUGCUUUAAGAUGAGCUCGCGUCCGAUUAGGUAGUUGGUGAGGUAACGGCCCACCAAGCCCGCGAUCGGUAGCCGGACUGAGAGGUUGGCCGGCCACAUUGGGACUGAGAUACGGCCCAGACUCCUACGGGAGGCAGCAGUGGGGAAUAUUAGGCAAUGGGGGAAACCCUGACCUAGCGACGCCGCGUGAAGGAAGAAGGUUUUCGGAUUGUAAACUUCUUUUAAGAGGGACGAUAAUGACGGUACCUCUUGAAUAAGCCACGGCUAACUACGUGCCAGCAGCCGCGGUAAUACGUAGGUGGCAAGCGUUGUCCGGAUUUACUGGGUGUAAAGGGCGAGUAGGCGGGAUUGCAAGUCAGAUGUGAAAUACCGGGGCUCAACUCCGGGGCUGCAUUUGAAACUGUAAUUCUUGAGUGAUGGAGAGGCAGGCGGAAUUCCCGGUGUAGCGGUGGAAUGCAUAGAGAUCGGGAGGAACACCAGUGGCGAAGGCGGCCUGCUGGACAUUAACUGACGCUGAGGAGCGAAAGUGUGGGGAGCAAACAGGAUUAGAUACCCUGGUAGUCCACACUGUAAACGAUGGAUACAAGGUGUGCGGGGACUGACCCCCUGCGUGCCCAAUUUAACACAAAAAUAUCCCCCCUGGGGGAACCCAAUCCCAAAAUUGAAACCCAAAGGAAAUGACCGGCCCCCCCCCAAAACCGUGGAAUUAGUUUAAUUACCCUCCCCCACCGCCCAAAACCCUACCACGGUUU